GCAGGAAACACAAAACACAUUAGACUUCUAGACAAACAAACUCAACACAUCAGUUUGUCUCGACGUUGGAUAUGACAGAACAAGGGAAGGUGGCUCUCACCGGCAGGUCGUCUCCUCUGAGCGAGUUUCCUGACAGGUCGAGGAGACAUGGAGGUCCUGGACAGGUUCAGGUGCUUCAGACCCAUGGGCAGUUUUGCCAGUUGAGCACUCAGAGCAGAAACACCUGGAGAAAGCAACACACAUCCAGUCACUGAUGUUACUGGACUUCAGAGAGCUCCAACACGGCCACUAGAGGGCGCAAGACGUCACCUAAACGCCCAAACUGAGAAGCUCUCUGUUUCAGAAAGCCAAACUUAAAAAGUUAUAGCUCAUUUUUAAUGCAAAUUCAAGAAAAUCAAUUAUAUUUGAUUAUAAAUCAAUCUGUCUUAUCAAGGAGAAAGUCUUCUUUUAAACACGUACUGAAACCUGUCUACUUAAUAUAAACAACCAACAGGA